rnacentral:sRNA from 1 species
UUGUGCAGACUCCACCCUGUGGGUCAGCUCAUGAGCAGAAUGAAAUACACAAAAUGUCAGGAGGCAGGAUUGGCGAAGUGGGAAAAUUCUCCAACCUGACUUGAUAAUUACUGAUGCAUUAAUCUUCUAUAUAUUCAGAUGAUGUUCCUACAUGAAGUCAUAUAAAGUACAUGGAUGAAGACGUGCAUAGAGAACUCAACAUGUCAUCUAGUUUGGAAUGUGAAAUAAGUUAGUUUUUUAGUUAUCUUUUUUUUAAUUUGAAAAAGUAAUCUUUAUCAAUAUUUGUUGAAGUUCUAUUCAAUAUUUUUUUUAAAGAAUAAAGAGUCUUUUCUAAAAAAGGUGAAAACAAGUUCGAGGAAAUAUUCAUGGCCUUACAGAGCUGAAUUUAUAACUGAGAUGUUAGGAUAAAUGUGAAGUUGGUUUUAAAUAACUGGCAUGUUACAGCUAGUCAUAUUUGUUUAUUUCUAUAUUUCUGAAAGUCUAUGCAUGUUGAUUUGACUAUAAACAUCCUCCCUCAACUUACAGUAUGUUAACCUGACAAUACAUAGUUACUGUGACUUAAUGCAUGUGACCAGACACUACAUUUCCUUUAUUACUUACUGCAUGCUUACCUUACUAUACACUCACAUAGCAACUGAUUGUGUUUUUGUAUAAUAUUGUUUAAAUCUCUCGAAAAAUAAUUUUAAUUAUUUGAGAUUUUCAGAAGAAUAAUUAGUCUUUUCUGAUACAGAUCAAACAACAUGGAGGAAACGAUGUAUUUCCAGAACUAAACAUGCCUCCUUGCCAUUGUGAUUGAGGCCAUAAUGAUUAUUAGACAGAAAAAACAUUUGAAUCAGUCAUUGAAUAAUGACAGGAAGGUAUAUCAAUUUCCUGGCCAUUCUACAUC